GACAGAGGGGGCAAGCGUUGUCCGGAAUUACUGGGCGUAAAGCGCGCGCAGGCGGUCGGGUAUGUGCCUGGUGACAGGCCGGUGCUCAACACCGGGAGGUCUGGGUAGACAGCCUGACUGGCAGCAGGGAGAGGGCAGUGGAAUACCCGGUGGAGCGGUGAAAUGCGUAGAGAUCGGGUGGAACACCAGUGGUGAAGACGGCUGCCUGGCCCUGACUGGACGCUGAGGCGCGACAGCGUGGGGAGCGAACGGG
rnacentral:rRNA from 1 species